rnacentral:rRNA from 2 species
GACAGACUUAAAAAUUUUAAUAUCUUCAUUAAAAUUUAUCUUAAUUCAACAUCGAGGUCGCAAUCAUUUUUAUCAAUAUGAACUCUCUAAAAAUAUUACGCUGUUAUCCCUAAGGUAAUUUAAUUUAAUUUCAUUAAUAAUGGAUAUUAAGUUUUCAAUUAUUUUUGUUAUAAAAAUAAAAAAUUUUUAUAAAUUUUUAUAUAGCCCCAACAAAAUAAUUUUAAAUUAAAAAAAUUUAUUUAAAUUUAAAUAAUUUUAAAUUAUAAAAUUCUAUAGGGUCUUCUCGUCUUUUAAUUUUAUAUAAGAAUUUUUACUUAUAAUUAAAUUUAAUAAUUUUAAAUUGAGACAGUUUUUAUUUCAAUAAUUCUUUCAUUCCAGACUUAAAUAAUAAGACAAAUGAUUAUGCUACCUUUGUACAGUUAAAAUACUGCAGCUAUUUAAAAAUUUUCAUUGAGCAGAACUGAUUUAAAAUUAUAAUCAAAAAACCAUGUUUUUGAUAAAC